rnacentral:rRNA from 1 species
UAGUCUGGUGCCAGCAGCCGCGGUAAUUCCAGCUCCAAUAGCGUAUAUUAAAGUUGUUGCAGUUAAAACGCACGUAGUCGGAUUUCGGGGCAGGUUUGCCGGUCUGCCGAUGGGUAUGCACUGGUAGAACUGUCCUUCCUUCCGGAGACGGUGCCUACUCUUAACUGAGCGGGUGUCGGAGACGGAUCGUUUACUUUGAAAAAAUCAGAGUGUUUCAAGCAGGCAGCUCGCUUUUGCAUGGAUUAGCAUGGGAUAAUGAAAUAGGACUUUGGUGCUAUUUUGUUGGUUUCGAACACCGAAGUAAUGAUUAACAGGGACAGUCAGGGGCACUCGUAUUCCGCCGAGAGAGGUGAAAUUCUUAGACCAGCGGAAGACGAACCACUGCGAAAGCAUUUGCCAGGGAUGUUUUCACUGAUCAAGAACGAAAGUUAGGGGAUCGAAGACGAUCAGAUACCGUCGUAGUCUUAACCAUAAACCAUGCCGACUAGGGAUUGGAGGAUGUUCCUAUGUGACUCCUUCAGCACCUUUCGGGAAACUAAAGUCUUUGGGUUCCGGGGGGAGUAUGGUCGCAAGGCUGAAACUUAAAGGAAUUGACGGAAGGGCACCACCAGGAGUGGAGCCUGCGGCUUAAUUUGACUCAACACGGGGAAACUUACCAGGUCCAGACAUUGUGAGGAUUGACAGAUUGAGAGCUCUUUCUUGAUUCGAUGGGUGGUGGUGCAUGGCCGUUCUU